CUUGCUCCACCGAAAGAAAAAGAGUGGCGAACGGGUGAGUAACACGUGGGUAACCUGCCCAUCAGAAGGGGAUAACACUUGGAAACAGGUGCUAAUACCGUAUAACACUAUUUUCCGCAUGGAAGAAAGUUGAAAGGCGCUUUUGCGUCACUGAUGGAUGGACCCGCGGUGCAUUAGCUAGUUGGUGAGGUAACGGCUCACCAAGGCAACGAUGCAUAGCCGACCUGAGAGGGUGAUCGGCCACACUGGGACUGAGACACGGCCCAGACUCC
rnacentral:rRNA from 1 species